GCAUAAUCAUUUGCCAUUUAAUUGGUGGCUAGAAUAAAUGAAUACACGAAAGUUAAGCUGUCUCAUUUUUAUACAUAAAAAUUGACCCCCUGGUGAAGAGACCAGUAUUAAACAAAAAGACGAAAAGACCCUAUAGAGCUUUACCCUAUAUAUAAUUAUCUUAAAAAGGGUUUAGUUGGGGCAACUAGAGAGAAUCUAAAUCCUCUCUUACAAAAACUUAUACUGAUCCGUUAAUCGACCAGAAGAGAAAGCUACCUUAGGGAUAACAGGCCAAUCCUUUUUGAGAGACCAUAUUGACAAAAGGGA
rnacentral:rRNA from 1 species